CCUACGGGCGGCAGCAGUGAGGAAUAUUGGUCAAUGGACGGAAGUCUGAACCAGCCAUGCCGCGUGCAGGAAGACUGCUCUAUGAGUUGUAAACUGCUUUUGUACAAGGGUAAACCUGAAUACGUGUAUUCAGCUGAAAGUACUGUACGAAUAAGGAUCGGCUAACUCCGUGCCAGCAGCCGCGGUAAUACGGAGGAUCCAAGCGUUAUCCGGAUUUAUUGGGUUUAAAGGGUGCGUAGGCGGAUUGAUAAGUUAGAGGUGAAAUGUCCGAGCUUAACUCGGGAACUGCCUCUAAUACUGGUGGUCUAGAGAGUAGAUGCGGUAGGCGGAAUGUAUGGUGUAGCGGUGAAAUGCUUAGAGAUCAUACAGAACGCCGAUUGCGAAGGCAGCUUACCAAUCUAUAUCUGACGUUGAGGCACGAAAGCGUGGGGAGCAAACAGGAUUAGAUACCCCUGUAGUC
rnacentral:rRNA from 1 species